GCUGGCUAAUUUUCUCAGCUUCAGAAUUCCUCAGUCCUCAAAAUAGGACAUUUGUAACAAGAAUACAAGGGGACUAGACCCUACUCUCCCUCCACUUUGCUCCAGAACUUCUAACCCCAUCUGAGAAGCUCACUGGCAGAUGGCAUCCUUUGUGGCCAUGACAACUGGAGACCAAGCCCAGGCCUUUGCUCACGCUGGGCAAGCAUUCUUCUACUUGCUGCAUCUCCAGGCUGAUUUCAAGCCUGAAGAAGGUCAAGAGAAUUACAACUUCCUUAGACUUUGACUCCUGGGCCCUAUGAAGUGCUCCUCAUAUGGGUGACAGUUUUGGAACCUCUGAGACCGAGAGCUAAGUAAAGCUGAGUUGUCCUAACUCUGUUUCCUUUCACCACCGCACUGCUCACACCCACCCCGGCAGCCUCCC